GGCCGUGUAGCCUAACGGAUAUGGCGUCGGACUUCGAAUCCGGAGGUUGCGGGUUCGAGUCCCGUCAUGGUCA